GAUGAACGCUGGCGGCGUGCCUAAUACAUGCAAGUCGAGCGAACGGACGAGAAGCUUGCUUCUCUGAUGUUAGCGGCGGACGGGUGAGUAACACGUGGAUAACCUACCUAUAAGACUGGGAUAACUUCGGGAAACCGGAGCUAAUACCGGAUAAUAUUUUGAACCGCAUGGUUCAAAAGUGAAAGACGGUCUUGCUGUCACUUAUAGAUGGAUCCGCGCUGCAUUAGCUAGUUGGUAAGGUAACGGCUUACCAAGGCAACGAUGCAUAGCCGACCUGAGAGGGUGAUCGGCCACACUGGAACUGAGACACGGUCCAGACUCCUACGGGAGGCAGCAGUAGGGAAUCUUCCGCAAUGGGCGAAAGCCUGACGGAGCAACGCCGCGUGAGUGAUGUAGGUCUUCGGAUCGUAAAACUCUGUUAUUAGGGAAGAACAUAUGUGUAAGUAACUGUGCACAUCUUGACGUUACCUAAUCAGAAAGCCACGGCUAACUACGUG
rnacentral:rRNA from 1 species